CCAUUUAAGUGAGAAAUUGUUUAUUUUAUAAAUUCCUUUUUCCUUAUUCUUUUUUUUAUUUUCCCCGCUGAUUCCUUUCUCCCUGCCGAACUCGCGCCGACGCCAAGCUUCUCCCGAGCCCUAACCGAGCGGUUCCUUCUCCCUCUCCGCGUACAAAACCUCCCAGCCAAGGGCUUCGCCUUCUUCUUCCUUCCCGAGCGCGCACGCCCUUCUCUUCAUCUUCUGCCGACGACCUCUGUGCCCUAGCUUCUCCGCCGUCUGUCGCCGUCGAACGGAGAAGUGUCGAUUCCUCUCAGCCAUCUCUUUGCCCUAACCAGCGCCGCAGCAAACCGCCGUUGCCUCCCUUGCCCCUAUUGCACCUUUUGGUCGCCACAGCCGACGCCGACGGACUAGGGCAACGCUGUGCCCUAGAUUUGCAGCGCCGCCGUCCCAUUCUGCUCUAGCCAUCAUCGACACUGCUCUCCUGCAGUGUCCUUCGCUCGCCACUGCCCUUGUGAUCUAGCGUAGUCGUGAGUGCCAGCAACCACCUUGUUAACGGCUUGAGUUUCUGGCAUUAGGGCUUCCAGUGGCAGCUUUGUUCGGUUUUUGGUCAUUUCAGGCAGUAAAGGAAGAGUGAAGAAUUCCAGCAGCCAACAACCCUUAACGGCAGCCCUCAUUCCAGCAUUCCUUUGUUCCAGCAGCAAUCAACCUAAAUGGGGCAGUAACUCUUCAAUUCCAGCAUCUUCUUGUUCUUGAAUAAAGCUGUGGAACUUGAGGACUUUGACGCGAAACGAGUAUCUCGGAGUCGGUAUUGGACCUUUCUUUUAUCGGAGG